rnacentral:rRNA from 1 species
AUUGAACGCUGGCGGCAGGCCUAACACAUGCAAGUCGAACGAGUGGCGGACGGGUGAAUAAUGUCUGGGACACUGCCUGAUGGAGGGGGAAAACUACUGGAAACGGUAGAUAAUACCGCAUACCAUCAGAUGUGCCCAGAUGGGAUUAGAUUGUUGGUGGGGUAAAGGCCUACCAAGGCGACGAGCCGUAUCUGGUCUGAGCGGAUGAUCAGUAACACUGGAACUGAGACACGGUCCAGAAUCCUACGGGAGGCAGCAGUGGGGAAUAUUGGACAAUGGGCGAAAGCCUGAUGCAGCCAUGCCGCGUGUGUGAAGAAGGUCUUCGGAUUGUAAAGUACUUUAAGUGGGGAGGCGUUACCAACAGAAUAAGCACCGGCUAACUUCGUGCCAGCCGCCGCGGUAAUAC